AUUGAACGCUGGCGGCAGGCCUAACACAUGCAAGUCGAGCGAGCGGCGGACGGGUGAGUAAUGUAUGGGGAUCUGCCUGAUAGAGGGGGAUAACUACUGGAAACGGUGGCUAAUACCGCAUACUAUCGGAUGUGCCCAUAUGGGAUUCGCUAGUAGGUGGGGUAAAGGCUCACCUAGGCGACGAUCUCUAGCUGGUCUGAGAGGAUGACCAGCCACACUGGGACGGAGACACGGCCCAUACUCCUACGGGAGGCAGCAGUGUGGAAUAUUGCACAAUGGGCGCAAGCCUGAUGCAGCCAUGCCGCGUGUAUGAAGAAGGCCUUAGGGUUGUAAAGUACUUUCAGCGGGGAGGCGUUACCCGCAGAAGAAGCACCGGCUAACUCCGUGCCAGCAGCCGCGGUAAUUC
rnacentral:rRNA from 1 species